UCUGAUCGAAAACAGUUCACACGCAACAUCUGAAUAACAAAUUGCAUCAUCCACGAAAGACAAAGUCACAGUGAUUAUAGAUGACGAAAGUAUCGAUUAAAAUAAUACUCUUUCCAUCCUAUAAUUAAUAUAAGAUGUUAAGCCUACGUCCUAAAGCGACGUUCGAAGGUUAGACCGCCAUGCAUGCUGAUACUCACCUUCUUAGCCACCCACUCGACAUGUACUCCCUCCGUAUCUAAAUAUAAGUCUUUUAAGAUAUUUUAUUAGAUGUCUACAUACGAAACAAAAUAAGUGAAUCUAUACUUUAAAGUAUGUCUAUAUACAUCCGUAUGUAGUCCAUUAGUGAAAUCCCUAAAAAGACUUAUAUUUAGGAACGGAGGGAGUAGUUACUUGUUUACAUGCCGUAUAAAGGAAUAUGCAUGGAACCAUGAUGAAAAAACAAAAUUACAUUGCAAGAUCGUCAAGCUUCUUUCCGUAAUUAACAACGAUAAGUCUACCAUGCAUGCGUCGCUGGGGAAGACCUCACCUGAAGUUCGAUCCAUUAACAUGACACCAAAAUGCGCGGCAGGUUCCAGUGUGAAGCAAUAAGGGCGGAAGGAACACAGCUAGCUAUUCGUACAACAGUGUGUGAAGGCGUGAAGCUUAGCCCUCCAACACAAUAAAAUCACAUGACUCGGCUGAGGGAGAUGACUUGCCGGCCUAUCAUGCCUUCGGCCCUUCUUUUGGUCAGUUCGGGGUGAUCUACGGUUCUGGCUAUUGAGUACUCGCUAGUCGCUAUGGACCACUUGAUAGUAGUAAUUGUCCACAAAACCAAUCUGUGUGAACAAGCUAUAUAUUCUGUUCCGGUUUAAGAUGUACAUUCUGUUCCGGUUUAUUUUGUGCGACUGUGAGCUGCAUUGUUUCUAUGAAAUUUUUGCUUGUAGUUUGAAAUUGCCCACCCCCCUUGGUUACUCGGCACACUCCGCCUCUGUUUGGCCGGACGACAGCUGAACAGGGUCAACCACUAGCCUUAGUAGCCUAGCUUAUUCCAGCUCUACCUGACCACCCAGACCAAGGUUUACUGAGUGCAUGCGGCAUGGGUUGCUACCUCUCUCCAAGCCAACUCAGCUAAUUUGGCGUUCAUUUCCUGACUUCCUUGCCCAUUACAUGGAGCUAUAGCUAGCCUUGCAGACUUAAAUAAAGAAGAACACAGACGAUCUUGAUUAGAUAUCUCUCAGCUAUUUUUUUUUAGAAAAGGAGGGUUACCUCCGGCCUCUGCAUCAGCAUGAUGCAUACGGCCCCUUUAUUGCAAAUAAUCAUGCAUACGACCCCUUUAUUGCAAAUAAUCAAACGGUUCACGGUUCCACAUAGUCUCCGAUAAUACAAUAAAUCUGAAAGAUUAAAAUAAAAAGUGCCACAACCGGCAAAAUA
rnacentral:lncRNA from 1 species